rnacentral:misc_RNA from 1 species
GGAGUGAAGAACCAUUUUGAUGAAGGGCAUAUGAGAGGAUCAAAAGAACCUCGAGCAGUUCCAGCACCUGAUGCUAAUGCCGAGUUGGCGAGGUCAAUUCAGAGGAGGCAGAGCAGUUCAAAUCCUAAGAGCCGAUCUGAGCACUUCUAUCCCUCUAAAGAAGCUCAUUGCGGUUUUCCAAUUGAUCAACAUAAACCAUUACAACCAAGCGAAGAAAAAGGCGGAAAUCACUUGGAGAAUCAUUCAGAGCGAAUUUCUCAUUCAGGACCUCUAGCUCCAGGAUUUGGGUGGGCAAAAUCCGGGAAGAAAUAUGAUCAUGAUAUUUCUGUUGGUUCCAAUAGAGCCGACUUAUCCAAGUUUUCUACUUUAGUAGCAUCUAGGUCAGUUAUCACUGGUGAUGCUCGAGAUCGGUUUGUUGCUUCACAGCUAGAAUCUGUCCGUCAAGUAGAAAGACCAGUACACUUGCUUGACGAACAUCCAAGGAAGCAGGAUUGGAAGUGUCAGAUGCAAAACCAUGCUAGUUCUCGUCAACUUGACAAUGGAAGGGCUAGUAUUAAAGAACAACAUCUGCGUGGCCAUGCCCAUGGUCACAAGGGAAACUCAAUCCAUUUCUCAGGUCCACUACUUGUUCAACCAAACAAAGUGGAUCAAAUGCUUAAAGAGCACGAUCGUCGUAUCCAGGAAGCUGCACGACGAGCAAGGCUCGAGAAGGCAAGAGCAGGCAAAGGCCAAGCUCAAGUGAUGCCAAG